GGAGUGCACAUAUACCUCUUUUGGAUCCUGAUUUCAGUUGCUUUGACUCCACAUGCAGAAGUGAGAAUGCUGCAUGAGUCUAAGUAUUAAACCAGUUUUACUGAUGGAGAAAAUGAGGCCUAGAGCUGUGAUUUGCUGGGGGAGCCAGAACAAGGAAAAGCUUGGGGUCCCAGAAAACACAGAUUCAUCCCAGAGGCAAAGGCUUAAUCACACCAGAGUUACAACAAUAGAUUCAUCUGCUGAUGGACAUACUGGAUGUGCUACUUCUAAAGUUGAGCAAUCGUGAAUUGUGCUGCUAUAAACGCAUGUCGGGGGUCUUUGGACCUUGGCCUCCAGGCAGACUGCUCAGAGAAGGGAAGAGGACAGACUACAAGGCAGAGCCUCUGAGCAGACGCAAGAAAGGCCCUGGGAGACUGGAGCCAUGCCUAACACCAGCCCCUGCCCACAUUCCCCGUCGGAUGGGGCUUGUGCUGGGGUCUGCCUGGAUCGCCUGCUCAUCCACGAGGCAGGGAAGAAGCAGCACGCGGCUCCUCUCCCACUCAGGACGUGGGCUGUACACUGCACUUCUUUGGGCUUCAGCUUCUGCAUCGGUAAAGCACACCGAGGGACAUUCAUACUUCACCAGAUUCUUGAGUGAUUUAAAUAACCCCCUACAAACAAGCGCUUAGAACAGAGCCUGCAAAUACCAAACCCUCACUAUUUAUCUGUUGUUUUCACCAUUUAAUAAACUAAUCCC
rnacentral:lncRNA from 1 species